rnacentral:rRNA from 1 species
UACAGAGGGGGCAAGCGUUGUUCGGAAUUACUGGGCGUAAAGGGCGCGUAGGCGGCCUGCUAAGUCGAACGUGAAAUCCCUGGGCUCAACCCAGGAACUGCGUCCGAUACUGGUUGGCUUGAAUCCGGGAGAGGGAUGUGGAAUUCCAGGUGUAGCGGUGAAAUGCGUAGAUAUCUGGAGGAACACAGGUGGCGAAGGCGACAUCCUGGACCGGUAUUGACGCUGAGGCGCGAAAGCCAGGGGAGCAAACGGG